rnacentral:rRNA from 1 species
UCCAGACUCCUACGGGAGGCAGCAGUGGGGGAUAUUGCACAAUGGGGGGAACCCUGAUGCAGCGACGCCGCGUGGGUGAAGGAGCGUUUCGGCGCGUAAAGCCCUCUCGGCAGGGAAGAAGGAGGACGGUACCUGACUAAGAAGCCCCGGCUAACUACGUGCCAGCAGCCGCGGUAAUACGUAGGGGGCAAGCGUUAUCCGGAUUUACUGGGUGUAAAGGGGGCGCGGGCGGCAGCGCAAGCCAGGAGUGAAAGCCCGGGGCCCAACCCCGGGACUGCUCUUGGAACUGCGCGGCUGGAGUGCAGGAGGGGCAGGCGGAAUUCCUGGUGUAGCGGUGAAAUGCGUAGAUAUCAGGAGGAACACCGGUGGCGAAGGCGGCCUGCUGGACUGCGACUGACGUUGAGGCCCGAAAGCGUGGGGAGCAAACAGGAUUAGAUACCCGCGUA